rnacentral:rRNA from 1 species
GGUCAAGUUAUUAAGGGUGCAGGGCGGAUGCCUUGGCACUAGGAGCCGAUGAAGGACGUGAUAAGCUGCGAUAAGCUUCGGGGAGUUGCACGUAAACUUUGAUCCGAAGAUUUCCGAAUGAGGAAACUCACUUAGAGUAAUGUCUAAGUAUCAUUAAGUGAAUACAUAGCUUAAUGAGGGGAACUCAGGGAACUGAAACAUCUAAGUACCUGAAGGAAGAGAAAGAAAUUCGAUUCCGUAAGUAGCGGCGAGCGAACGCGGAUUAGCCCAAACCAAUAAAGUUUUCUUUAUUGGGGUUGCGGACAUAUCAUAACGAAGAGGUAUCGUAAUUGAAGAGGUUUGGAAAGACCCACCACAGAAGGUAAUAGUCCUGUAUGUUAAACGAGAAGACUUUAGAUAUGAUCCAGAGUACCACGGGACACGUGAAACCCUGUGGGAAGCAGGAGGGACCACCCUCCAAGGCUAAAUACUACCUAGUGACCGAUAGCGUAUAGUACCGUGAGGGAAAGGUGAAAAGAACCCCGGGAGGGGAGUGAAAUAGAACCUGAAACCCUGCACUUACAAGCUGUGGAAGCACAUUUCUUGUGUGACCGCGUACUUUUUGUAGAACGGGCCAACGAGUUACGUUAAGUAGCAAGGUUAAGCACUUAAGGUGCGGAGCCGUAGCGAAAGCGAGUUUUAACUGAGCGUUCAGUUACUUGACGUAGACCCGAAACCGGGCGACCUACCCAUGAGCAGGAUGAAGCGAAAGUAAAAUUUCGUGGAGGUCCGAACCCACGAGCGUUGAAAAGCUCGGGGAUGACUUGUGGGUAGCGGUGAAAUUCCAAUCGAGCCCGGAGAUAGCUGGUUCUCCCCGAAAUAGCUUUAGGGCUAGCCUCAAGGUGAGAGAUACGGAGGUAGAGCACUGAAUGUCCUAGGGGGUAUUGCACCUACCGAAGACUAUCAAACUCCGAAUGCCGUCAUCUUAUACUUGGGAGUCAGACUGUGGGUGAUAAGAUUCAUAGUCGAAAGGGCAACAGCCCAGAUCGUCAGCUAAGGUCCCUAAAUGUAAGUUAAGUGGUAAAGGAUGUGGGAUUGCACAGACAACCAGGAUGUUGGCUUAGAAGCAGCCACUCAUUCAAAGAGUGCGUAAUAGCUCACUGGUCGAGUGAUCCUGCGCCGAAGAUUUCCGGGGCUAAAACUUACUACCGAAGCUACGGCAUCAGUAAUGAUGGGUAGGGGAGCUUCCCAUACGGGUUGAAGCAUGACCGUAAGGACAUGUGGACAGUAUGGGAGUGAGAAUGUUGGCAUGAGUAGCGAGAUGUGGGUGAGAAUCCCACAGGCCGUAAACCCAAGGUUUCCAGGGGAAGGUUCGUCCGCCCUGGGUUAGUCGGGACCUAAGCUGAGGCCGAAAGGCGUAGGUGAUGGACAACAGGUUGAUAUUCCUGUACUACCGAUAACCGUUUGAGAGAAGGGAUGACACAGUAGGAUAAGCUAAGCACACUGUUGGUUAUGUGUGCCCAAGCAUUGAGGCAGUCAAAGUAGGCAAAUCCGCUUUGAUAAUGCUGGGAUGUGAUGGGGAGCGAAAUUUAGUAGCGAAGUAGCUGAUUUCACACUGUCAAGAAAAGUCUCUAUCGAGGUUAAAGGUACCCGUACCGCAAACCGACACAGGUGGGUGAGGAGAGUAUCCUAAGGCCAGCGAGAGAACUGUUGUUAAGGAACUCGGCAAAAUGACCCCGUAACUUAGGGAUAAGGGGUGCCACCAUCAGGUGGCCGCAGAGAAUAGGCCCAAGCGACUGUUUACCAAAAACAUAGGUUUCUGCUAAGUCGCAAGACGAUGUAUAGGAGCUGACGCCUGCCCGGUGCUGGAAGGUUAAGGGGAUCUGUUAGAGCAAUCGAAGCAGUGAACUUAAGCCCCAGUAAACGGCGGCCGUAACUAUAACGGUCCUAAGGUAGCGAAAUUCCUUGUCGGGUAAGUUCCGACCCGCACGAAAGGCGUAACGAUUUGGGCACUGUCUCAACAACAGACUCGGUGAAAUUGUAAUUCCGGUGAAGAUGCCGGAUACCUGCGACAGGACGGAAAGACCCCAUGGAGCUUUACUGUAGCUUGACAUUGGGUCUUGGUACUACAUGUACAGGAUAGGUGGGAGGCUUUGAAACCAGGACGCCAGUUUUGGCGGAGCCAUCCUUGGGAUACCACCCUUGUAGUACUGGGACUCUAACCAUAGGCCAUGAAUCUGGUCUUGGGACACUGUCAGGUGGGCAGUUUGACUGGGGCGGUCGCCUCCCAAAAGGUAACGGAGGCGCUCAAAGGUUCUCUCAGUACGGUCGGAAAUCGUACGUAGAGUGUAAAGGCAAAAGAGAGCUUGAUUGCAAGACAUACAGGUCGAGCAAGGAUGAAAAUCGGACUUAGUGAUCCGGUGGUUCUGCGUGGAAGGGCCAUCGCUCAACGGAUAAAAGCUACCCUGGGGAUAACAGGCUUAUCUCCCCCAAGAGUCCACAUCGACGGGGAGGUUUGGCACCUCGAUGU